rnacentral:rRNA from 1 species
UACGUAGGGUGCAAGCGUUGUCCGGAAUUAUUGGGCGUAAAGAGCUCGUAGGCGGUUUGUCGCGUCGGCUGUGAAAUCCCGAGGCUCAACCUCGGGCCUGCAGUCGAUACGGGCAAACUAGAGUGUGGUAGGGGAGACUGGAAUUCCUGGUGUAGCGGUGAAAUGCGCAGAUAUCAGGAGGAACACCGAUGGCGAAGGCGGCUUCCUGGCCUGUAACUGACGCUGAGACGCGAAAGCGUGGGGAGCGAACCGG